AUCCCCUCCCCUUGCCGCCCCUUCUUCAUUGGAUGACCAGAUGCACAACCACAUAUGUUUUUUGAUUCAGGCUCAUAGGGUCUAGAUUUGAAUGUAAAACUACCUGACUUUACCAUUAACAGAUUGGAAGCACGAUUAUCGCUGCAAUUUUUUUAGUCAUGGCAUAUUUUCUCUUAUAUGUGUUUGUUGAUGAUUAAUCAUCAAAGGUUAUACGCGUGUUUCGUCCCAAGCACAAGUCCUUCUUUCACAUAUCCCUUUUGUCAUAUGUCUUCUUGAUGCAAAGAGGCUCAGCUUGCUACUGAUGGAUUGCAGCUUACCAAAUUUGAUUUGGUUUGGUACAAUGGAUGUUUGGUAUUGAUGUUGAAAGAAUACUUCACUUUCUGUAAUUUCUGAUGUUCAGAUUAUACCGAAUGAAUGCUACCAGAUUCCAUAUUUGUUCUAGAGAUAUUAUUGAUCUUUUCAUGCACCAAUUGUUCAAGUAGUGUCUUUCUGCUAAAAGCUUUAUAUUGCCCUGUGUGUCCUUUUGUCCGUACCUUUUUCCAGUAAUUUUCUCUGUUAACCUUGGGCCAGCUCAUUUGUGUGUGCUUCAUGUAUAUGCUCAUGCUUUUGAUGCUGCUGGACUUUGGAAUGCAUCCGCACAGUAACUUUCUGGGUAUGCUUGCAUUCAGGUUGUCAUUAGUUACGAGAUGGUACAUCAGUGUCUCCACUCUAGAGAUGAAUAUAAUACGCCAAAAGUAAGUGUCUGAUCCCAGCUUCUUUUAUUGUGGAUUGUGGGUACGGUGAGCAAUACAUUGAUUCACAAGUACGUCUUGCAGCACAAAAAUUAUUCCGUUCAAAGUGAAUGACACGGCGUAAAUCAAACAUGCGCUGAGCCUACUAAUGCGACUACCAGUACUGUUGCACUACUAGAACCCAAUGGCAUGAUGGUACAGCAAAUAUGGUUUUUUAUUAGAUAGUUUUCUGCACUGUAUAUGUGAUGAAUUCACAAAUUUAUGAUUUUGAGGUACUGGUGAAGGUAGAUUCAAAUGAGUGAUGCAAAUUCUUGAGUGAUGCAAAUUCAGAAUUGCAUAGGUAGUGCCUACGACUGACUAAGGGUACAUGAGUUGGAAGAAAGUCCAAGCAGAAGGAACUCCUGCAGAUGCCCAGGCUGCUACUGUGCCUAUCUUAAGGGUGAUCUUGACCUGAUUUUGCUUUCGAACUGAAUUGUGGUAAUCAAGCAGGGAGACGAGACGCUGUUGAGCUGUUUUUCGGUAGAUUUGAGCUACCUAGAGUUGAGCUAGGCACCAGACGAGCAGAAGCACAAACGUAGGAGGUAUCCAACAAUGGCAACCGCAACGCCAUUCCACUUAAACCUGGAGACCAGAGAAAGGAUGCGAGUUCUAGGAAAAUUUACAUUGAAAUUUGUCACAUGCAAACUGGAGGAAGGGGCAAUAAGCAGAGAAUUCCCCUCAAGAUGUGAACUGCAUUGAUGCCCUCGGUAUGUGUGUUGCUACUGUUGAAUGAUGCUCCCUUGUCGUUGUUGCUAUAGUACGAUUUAGUACAGCUUGUCUAAAUGGGUUAGAAGAGGGGUUAUGAAAUGUUUUGUUGGAGUUUAAAUAUUCUUUCAUGUAUUAGACUGAUAAGUUGUGCACUUUUGCUGCUGUUAGAUAAACUGACUACUCUGUACUGUUGGAUAGCCAUGGUAUGUGUUAGUUUUAUUUUACCACAAAAGUUUCUUGGGAGUUGGGAUAUCAGGUGUAUUCAUUACUUUUCCUAUGAAUAUAUUCUAUUUUGGUGCACUGUAUAUCUAUCUAAUCUAUCUAUCCAAGUUUUCAAAGAAAUUGA